CGCCCGUCAACCCUGACGCCCUGAUGCCCAGCCCUUGCUGUCUCGUGCCUGGAGGGGUUUGACGGGGGGCUGCCGCAGAACUUCCUGCUGGAGGCUUGGCAGGACGGAGUGGUCCUCGCGAAUGUCAGUAGCGAGUACCCUGAGUGGGUGGUCAGCGGAAUGGAAGUGGGGAAAGGAGUCGUCUUGAACAUCAUGGGUCACAAUGCCCGCGGUCGAAGUGACCCCGUCACCAUGAAGGUUGUGGCAAGCAGUGCCCAGCAUCGAUCAGCCCCAGGACUUGAAUCAUCUGUGGAAGUCUCCC